GGGGUAGAAGGAGCUUGCUCCUUUGAGACCGGCGCACGGGUGCGUAACGCGUAUGCAAUCUACCUUGUACAGGGGGAUAGCCCAGAGAAAUUUGGAUUAAUACCCCAUAGUAUUUUCAGAUGGCCUCAUUUGAUUAUUAAAGUUCCAACGGUACAAGAUGAGCAUGCGUCCCAUUAGCUAGUUGGUGUGGUAACGGCAUACCAAGGCAACGAUGGGUAGGGGUCCUGAGAGGGAGAUCCCCCACACUGGUACUGAGACACGGACCAGACUCCUACGGGAGGCAGCAGUGAGGAAUAUUGGUCAAUGGGCGCAAGCCUGAACCAGCCAUGCCGCGUGCAGGAUGACGGUCCUAUGGAUUGUAAACUGCUUUUGUACAGGAAGAAACCCUCCCUUGUAAGGGAGCUUGACGGUACUGUAAGAAUAAGGAUCGGCUAACUCCGUGCCAGCAGCCGCGGUAAUACGGAGGAUCCAAGCGUUAUCCGGAAUCAUUGGGUUUAAAGGGUCCGUAGGCGGUUUUAUAAGUCAGUGGUGAAAUCUGGUCGCUCAACGAUCAAACGGCCAUUGAUACUGUAAGACUUGAAUUACUUGGAAGUAACUAGAAUAUGUAGUGUAGCGGUGAAAUGCUUAGAGAUUACAUGGAAUACCGAUUGCGAAGGCAGGUUACUACGAGUAUAUUGACGCUGAUGG
rnacentral:rRNA from 1 species